rnacentral:rRNA from 1 species
AUUGAACGCUGGCGGCAGGCCUAACACAUGCAAGUCGAGCGGAUGAAGGGAGCUUGCUCCUGGAUUCAGCGGCGGACGGGUGAGUAAUGCCUAGGAAUCUGCCUGGUAGUGGGGGAUAACGUCCGUAAACGGGCGCUAAUACCGCAUACGUCCUGAGGGAGAAAGUGGGGGAUCUUCGGACCUCACGCUAUCAGAUGAGCCUAGGUCGGAUUAGCUAGUUGGUGGGGUAAAGGCCUACCAAGGCGACGAUCCGUAACUGGUCUGAGAGGAUGAUCAGUCACACGGGAACUAAGACACGGCCCAGACACCAACGGGGGGCGCCGGAGGGGAAUAUUGGACAAGGGGGAAAGGCGGAAGGCAGGCACACGGGGUGGGGGAGAAGGGUCUUCGGUUUUUAAAACACGUUGUGAGGGGAGAAGGAGCAGUGAUUGAAGACCGCGGUGUGUUGACGGUACCUACAGAGAAAGCACCGGCUAACUUCGUG